UGGCGGACGGGUGAGUAACGCGUGGGUAACCUGCCUCAUACAGGGGGAUAACAGUUAGAAAUGACUGCUAAUACCGCAUAAGACCACAGUACCGCAUGGUACAGGGGUAAAAACUCCGGUGGUAUGAGAUGGACCCGCGUCUGAUUAGGUAGUUGGUGGGGUAACGGCCUACCAAGCCGACGAUCAGUAGCCGACCUGAGAGGGUGACCGGCCACAUUGGGACUGAGACACGGCCCAG
rnacentral:rRNA from 1 species